UGGGGAAUAUUGGACAAUGGGCGCAAGCCUGAUCCAGCCAUGCCGCGUGAGUGAUGAAGGCCCUAGGGUUGUAAAGCUCUUUCACCGGUGAAGAUAAUGACGGUAACCGGAGAAGAAGCCCCGGCUAACUUCGUGCCAGCAGCCGCGGUAAUACGAAGGGGGCUAGCGUUGUUCGGAUUUACUGGGCGUAAAGCGCACGUAGGCGGACUUUUAAGUCAGGGGUGAAAUCCCGGGGCUCAACCCCGGAACUGCCUUUGAUACUGGAAGUCUUGGGUAUGGUAGAGGUGAGUGGAAUUCCGAGUGUAGAGGUGAAAUUCGUAGAUAAUCGGAGAAACACCAGUGGCGAAGGCGGCUCACUGGACCAUUACUGACGCUGAGGUGCGAAAGCGUGGGGAGCAAACAGG
rnacentral:rRNA from 1 species